ACUAAUCACAGCUCGAUCAUGAGCCCCACCCGGAAGUGUUUGUUUGUGACUCCGGUUGUUGAGUUAAGUGAGUCACGUCAGUGUUUGUACCUGUUUGACGAAAGCACGCAAAUGGCCUCAGACGACGCUGAUAAAGUGUCUUCUUUGAAGGGAAAAGUGACCCUGAUCACAGGUGCCAGCUCAGGUAUCGGUGCAGGUACGUCGGUCCUGUUUGCUAAACUGGGAGCUCUGUUGGCUCUCAAUGGCAGAGAUGUGGAGAGUCUGAAGAAAGUGGCCAAGGAGUGCAAAGGGUGUGGUGGAGGAGCUGAGCCCUUGCUUGUGCCCGGCGACCUGACAGACAAGGACACGGUAAAGAGGACGGUGGAGGAAGUUAUUGCGCGCUUCGGCCGACUGGACGUCCUGGUGAACAGCGCUGGCAUCCUGGCCAUGGGUGGCAUCGAGACGUCAGACCUGGCAACGUACGACAGGGUCAUGAACAUCAAUGUCAGAUCUGUGUACCACCUGACCCAACUCUGUGUGCCCCAUCUAGUCGAGACCAAAGGCUCCAUCGUCAACGUAUCCAGCGUCAAUGGACAGAGAUCGUUCCCUGGUGUUUUGGCCUAUUGUAUGUCCAAGUCUGCCAUUGACCAAUUCACUCGCUGUGUCGCUUUGGAACUGGCGUCGAAGCAAGUUAGAGUCAACUCCGUGUGUCCUGGCGUGAUCGUCACAGACGUGCACAAGAGAGCCGGACUGGAUGAGGAGCAAUAUGCUAAGUUCCUAGAAAAGUGCAAGCAGACUCACGCGCUUGGCCGACCGGGCGAAGUGGAUGAGGUGGCCCACAGCAUCGCCUUCCUGGCAUCGGACGCUGCUAGUUUCAUUACCGGAGUCAACCUUCCCAUCGACGGUGGACGCCAUGCUAUGUGUCCACGAUAAACCUUUACGGCUCACCAGACAGUCCUCCAUCUCCAGCUUUCCCUGGUGGGCCCUGUACAGAAACACAGACCACCUUCAAUCACGAACACUCUGUUGUUCUCCAACCAGAUGUGCAAUCAGACUCACCAAGGGUCCCAUCUCUCCUAUCGGCCCGCCCAUUCCUGGAGGCCCCGCUGCUCCCUACAGACACAAAGGGAGGCCUGACUUUCCUGGCGGACCAUCAGGGCCCUGCAAAGAAUAGAUUCAAGGUUGCCAUCGGGACCAGGGGGUCCUCUCUCUCCAAAGUCGCCAGGAAAUCCCUAAACAGAUGGACAAGGUAGUUAUACAGAACAAAAACGUGACGCAGCCGCGAGGCCCCACAUAAGUCAUAUAUACUGAAAAGCACUGCACACGCCUAUGGAAGACGAACAUGAUGGAUGAGGAUGAUGAAAAGUGUGUUGAGAGAAAACUUUACCGGCCUACCCAUCUCGCCCUUCUUCCCAUGAACGCCCGGAAUUCCCUGCAGCAAAAAAACAAACAAGACCGGGAAGGCCAAAGAGCCCGGGGAUGCCAAUGUGCCCCUAAAGAGAUUAGGAGAGGAAGGUAGAUGAAGACACCGACAUCACAAAAAAUACUGAAGGAGAAUGUUCGGCCUUCAGUCCAUGACCUCAAGCUGAAGCGCAGUUCGGUUCUGGAGCAGGAAAAAGACCCAAAACACACCAGCAAGUAAAUUUCUUAACGGCUUCAAAAAAACUAAAUGAAGGUUCUGGAGUGGCCUGGUCAAAGUCAAGACUUGAAGCCGAUCGAAAUGCUCUGGCAUGGCAUGACCUUAAAAAGGUCGUUCAUGCUCGAAAACCCUCCGUUGUUGCAGAAUUACAGCAAUUCUGCAAGGAAGAGUGGGACCAAAUAUCUCCACAGAGAUGUGAAAGACUCAUUGCCAGUAAUUGCCAGUUGUUGCUGCUGAGGGUGGCCUAACCAGUUAGUUAGUUUAGGGCCUUUACUUUUUCACACAGGGUUAAGUAGCUUUGAAUAGUUUUCUUUUCCUUAAUAAAUAAAAUCACCAUUUAAAAACUGCA